rnacentral:rRNA from 1 species
UUUAAGUGAAGAGUUUGAUCCUGGCUCAGAGUGAACGCUGGCGGUAGGCCUAACACAUGCAAGUCGAACGGCAGCACAAAGGAGCUUGCUCCUUGGGUGGCGAGUGGCGGACGGGUGAGGAAUACAUCGGAAUCUACUCUGUCGUGGGGGA